CGAGCCGGCCAGAUGAUCGCGGCGCUUCGGCGUCGAGGAAAGUCCGGACUCCACAGGGCAGGGUGGUGGACAACAUCCACCCGGGGUGACCCGCGGGACAGUGCCACAGAAAACAAACCGCCCGAGCAAUCGGGUAAGGGUGAAACGGCGGUGUAAGAGACCACCGCGACGCAGGUGACUGCGUCGGCAGGGCAAACCCCACCCGGAGCAAGACCAAGAAGGACGAGGAUUCCUCGCCCGCGCAGGCGUUUGAGGGCGGCCCGCCCGAUGCCUGCGGGUAGGUUGCACGCCCGGCGUGGAAGCGCCGGGGGAA
rnacentral:RNase_P_RNA from 1 species